rnacentral:rRNA from 1 species
AGCGAACGCUGGCGGUAGGCCUAACACAUGCAAGUCGAACGGCAGCACAGUAAGAGCUUGCUCUUACGGGUGGCGAGUGGCGGACGGGUGAGGAAUAUAUCGGAAUCUACUUUUUCGUGGGGGUUAACGUAGGGAAACUUACGCUAAUACCGCAUACGCCCUACGGGUGAAAGCAGGGGAUCUUCGGACCUUGUGCGAUUGAAUGAGCCGAUGUCGGAUUAGCUUGUUGGCGGGGUAAAGGCCCACCAAGGCGACGAUCCGUAGCUGGUCUGAGAGGAUGAUCGGCCGCCCUGGAACUUGGACACGGUCCAGGCUCCUGCGGGAGGCAGCAGUGGGGAAUAUUGGACAAUGGGCGCAAGCCUGAUCCAGCGAUCCCGCGUGGGUGAAGAAGGCCUUCCGGUUGUAAAGCCCUUUUGUUGGGAGAAAAAAGCAGCAGGUUAAUACCCCGCUGUUCUGACGGUACCCAAAGAAUAAGCACCGGCUAACUUCGUG